rnacentral:rRNA from 1 species
GUGAAGUGAUCAGAAGUGAGAAUGUUGACAUGAGUAGCGACAAACAGGGUGAGAGACCCUGUCGCCGAAAGUCCAAGGGUUCCUGCUUAAAGCUAAUCUGAGCAGGGUGAGCCGGCCCCUAAGGCGAGGCCGAAAGGCGUAGUCGAUGGGAACCAGGUUAAUAGUCCUGGGCCAGGAGAUGGUGACGGAUCGCAGGUGUAGUUCCUCCUUAUCGGAUUGGAGGGGCUGCUGAGCGGUUCCUGGAAAUAGCCCUCCACAAGACCGUACCCUAAACCGACACAGGUGGACUGGUAGAGAAUACCAAGGCGCUUGAGAGAACCACAUUUAAGGAACUCGGCAAAAUACCUCCGUAAGUUCGCGAGAAGGAGGCCCGGUUUUUACGCAAGUAGAGGCCGGGGGCACAAACCAGGGGGUGGCGACUGUUUACUAAAAACACAGGGCUCUGCGAAGCCGCAAGGCGACGUAUAGGGUCUGACGCCUGCCCGGUGCCGGAAGGUUAAAAGGAGAGGUGCAAGCCUUGAAUUGAAGCCCCGGUAAACGGCGGCCGUAACAAUAACGGUCCUAAGGUAGCGAAAUUCCUUGUCGGGUAAGUUCCGACCCGCACGAAUGGCGUAACGACUUCCCCGCUGUCUCAAAUGUGGACUCAGCGAAAUUGAAUUGUCUGUGAAGAUGCAGACUUCCCGCGGUUAGACGGAAAGACCCCAUGCACCUUUACUACAACUUCGCACUGGCAUCAGGAUUGCGAUGUGCAGGAUAGGCGGUAGGCUUUGAAGCGGGGACGCCAGUUCCCGUGGAGCCGUCCUUGAGAUACCGCCCUUCUCUGUUCUGAUGUCUAACCGCGGCCCGUUAUCCGGGUCCGGGACCCUGCGUGGUGGGUAGUUUGACUGGGGCGGUCGCCUCCCAAACAGUAACGGAGGCGCGCGAAGGUUGGCUCAGAGCGGUCGGAAAUCGCUCGUUGAGUGCAAUGGCAGAAGCCAGCCUGACUGCAAGACUGACAAGUCGAGCAGAGACGAAAGUCGGCCAUAGUGAUCCGGUGGUCCCGAGUGGAAGGGCCAUCGCUCAACGGAUAAAAGGUACGCUGGGGAUAACAGGCUGAUGAUGCCCAAGAGUCCAUAUCGACGGCAUCGUUUGGCACCUCGAUGUCGGCUCAUCUCAUCCUGGGGCUGGAGCAGGUCCCAAGGGUAUGGCUGUUCGCCAUUUAAAGUGGUACGCGAGCUGGGUUUAGAACGUCGUGAGACAGUUCGGUCCCUAUCGCCGUGGGUGUUGGAGACUUGAGAGGAGUUGCCCCUAGUACGAGAGGACCGGGGUGAACGUUCCACUGGUGGACCUGUUGUCGUGCCAAUGGCAGUGCAGGGUAGCUAUGAACGGACAGGAUAAACGCUGAAGGCAUCUAAGCGUGAAGCCCCCCUCAAAACAAGGUCUCCCUUGAGAGCCGUGGAAGACCACCACGUCGAUAGGCCGGAGAUGUACGUGCAGCAAUGCAUUCAGUUGACCGGUACUAAUGGUUCGAUAGGCAGA